rfam:Triticum aestivum genome assembly, contig: Triticum_aestivum_CS42_TGACv1_scaffold_425243_5BS
CUUAUACUCCCCCCGUCCGAAAAUACUUGUCGGAGAAAUUGAUGUAUUUAGAUGUAUUUUAGUUCUAGAUACAUCCAUUUUUAUGCAUUUCUCCGACAAGUAUUUCCGAACGGAGGGAGUAAUAU